ACGAACGCUGGCGGCGUGCUUAACACAUGCCAGUCGAACGGAAAGGCCCUGCUUUUGUGGGGUGCUCGAGUGGCGAACGGGUGAGUAACACGUGAGUAACCUGCCCUUGACUUUGGGAUAACUUCAGGAAACUGGGGCUAAUACCGGAUAGGAGCUCCUGCCGCAUGGUGGGGGUUGGAAAGUUUCGGCGGUUGGGGAUGGACUCGCGGCUUAUCAGCUUGUUGGUGGGGUAGUGGCUUACCAAGGCUUUGACGGGUAGCCGGCCUGAGAGGGUGACCGGCCACAUUGGGACUGAGAUACGGCCCAGACUCCUACGGGAGGCAGCAGUGGGGAAUAUUGCACAAUGGGCGGAAGCCUGAUGCAGCAACGCCGCGUGCGGGAUGACGGCCUUCGGGUUGUAAACCGCUUUCGCCUGUGACGAAGCGUGAGUGACGGUAAUGGGUAAAGAAGCACCGGCUAACUACGUG
rnacentral:rRNA from 1 species